GACGAACGCUGGCGGCGUGCUUAACACAUGCAAGUCGAACGGAAAGGCCCUGCUUUUGUGGGGUGCUCGAGUGGCGAACGGGUGAGUAACACGUGAGUAACCUGCCCUUGUCUUUGGGAUAACUUCAGGAAACUGGGGCUAAUCCCGGAUAGGAGCCCCUGCUGCAUGGUGGGGGUUGGAAAGUUUCGGCGGUUGGGGAUGGACUCGCGGCUUAUCAGCUUGUUGGUGGGGGAGUGGCUGACCAAGGCUUGGACGGGUAGCCGGCCUGAGAGGGUGACCGGCCACAAUGGGACUGAGAUACGGCCCAGACUCCUACGGGAGGCAGCAGUGGGGAAUAUUGCACAAUGGGCGGAAGCCUGAUGCAGAAACGCCGCGUGCGGGAUGACGGCCUUCGGGGUGUAAACCGCUUUCGCCUGUGACGAAGCGUGAGUGACGGUAAUGGGUGAAGAAGCACCGGCUAACUACGUG
rnacentral:rRNA from 1 species